rnacentral:rRNA from 1 species
UACAGAGGGGGCAAGCGUUGUUCGGAAUUACUGGGCGUAAAGGGCGCGUAGGCGGCCUGUUAAGUCGGACGUGAAAUCCCCGGGCUCAACCCGGGAACUGCGUCUGAUACUGGCAGGCUUGAAUCCGGGAGAGGGAUGCGGAAUUCCAGGUGUAGCGGUGAAAUGCGUAGAUAUCUGGAGGAACACCGGUGGCGAAGGCGGCAUCCUGGACCGGUAUUGACGCUGAGGCGCGAAAGCCAGGGGAGCAAACGGG